rnacentral:lncRNA from 1 species
UAUGCCACGGGAGCGGCCCAAGAAAUCAAGAAAUGGCAAAAGCACCAAAAAAAAAAAAAAACCUUUCUACAUCACCCCCACCCCCGGCUUCUGCGUUUCGAGCACACUAUCAAAGAAAGCUGACUUUCCAGUAUACCUGCUCAAGCGUAGUCUCGGUGGUGACUGCAGUCUGGAUGGAGCUGCUCGGAACCUCCACCCAAAUCCAGUGUCCAGACCCCGGUCAGCCCGUGGGUACAGGCAGUAGAUGUGGGUGAAGUGAAGAGAAUACUGGGGUCAUUCAUCAAGAGAAAUAAAUCCUGGAAUGAAGGCCAAAGGGUUAGACAUUUUCUUUGAGGGCUCCCUUCUGCCAAAGGCAAAACCUCUUUGAACACCUCUGGAGAUUUCCUUGGAGAAGCUGCAUCAGCAAAACAGUCCCCACACUGUGCCUGGGGGCAAAGCCCCUGCAGCAUGAGUGCCCUCCUCUGCAGCAGAUGGCAUGGAGGAUCCCGUCCUUCCUGCGGCCCGAGGUCUAAGUCCUGGGAAAGAGUGUGGAAAACAGACCUUUUUUAAAGUUGUAUUUUAGUGUCUUCCAUGGGGUCUGGGGAAACCCAGACGUAAACAGACAAAAUCCCAGCUGCUGGGAAGGAAGACGCUGAGCCCACCUGCCUGGCGCUACCCCCACCCCGCAGGGCCCUAGGCCUUUCCACAGAGCCUUUUCCCAUUUCCAUGGAGCCAGAACCCUUUCUUUGUUCACCUGGUCAUUCAGCACAUACCUCUUCUGCACCCAGCAUGACUCCAGGCCUGGGGAGGCCACGGUGGAGGAGAGCAGAGCGGGGCUUGGUUGUUCUGGAGCCCCAGCCGAGUAAGAGCCACCGGCAGAUAAGUGCCAGGGAAGAGGGGCCGGAGGUCAGGGAGGGCGUCUCUGCGAAGGUGAGCCAGGACCCAUGUCUGAAGGGGGAGCAGAAGUAAAUUUGACAUCAUGGAAGGGCCGGGACAGAGGCCCCCAGGGAGGAAGGAAGGAUGUUUACUGGGUGCUUCCAGGAGUUAAAUUGUCCUAAGCCAUGUGCUGGGAUUGUCUGAUGGAAUGGUCUUCAUCCUGUGUGGCAGUUCCUGCUUUCCAGAUGGGGGAAAAGGGGGUACAGCAGUGGGUUCCCCAGCUAAGGAUGAUGGAGCCGGGCUUUGAAGCCAUCUUCCCGCACAGCCUGCACCCUGGGCCACCUCCCUGCUCUGCCUCCCAGUGUGAACCUAGCAGGACCAGUGGGCUGCAGACUGUGCUGUAAGAGGCAGCCACUUGCCAGGAUCAGAGAGAGUGGGUCCCUCAGUUCCCUCCCACGCUGAGAGGGGGCUGCUGUGAAGAUGGAUUUUCUAGAGUCCUCCACCCAUGGGAAAGAGGCUGGGGCUCAGGGUGGGACAGACCCACCGAGCACAGGAGCCUUUGUCUCUCAGGCAGGGGAGCAGCAGAAUGGAAGCGGACAAGGGCCAGCACCGGUCCAGGCAUCACCCAGUGCAGCACAGAGCCUGACUCACCUGGACAGCAGGGCAUGCGCCAGCAUUUGUUUGUCCUCUGACAGUCACUUCUUGAGUAAUACUGAGUUCAUCUGCCCUGAUUGUACAUGUUGUUUAUG